UAAGGUGAUAUGAACCGUUAUAACCGGCGAUACCCGAAUGGGGAAACCCAGUGUGAUUCGUCACACUAUCAUUAACUGAAUCCAUAGGUUAAUGAGGCGAACCGGGGGAACUGAAACAUCUAAGUACCCCGAGGAAAAGAAAUCAACCGAGAUUCCCCCAGUAGCGGCGAGCGAACGGGGAGGAGCCCAGAGCCUGAAUCAGCAUGUGUGUUAGUGGAAGCGUCUGGAAAGGCGCGCGAUACAGGGUGACAGCCCCGUACACAAAAGCGCAUGUGCUGUGAGCUCGAUGAGUAGGGCGGGACACGUGGUAUCCUGUCUGAAUAUGGGGGGACCAUCCUCCAAGGCUAAAUACUCCUGACUGACCGAUAGUGAACCAGUACCGUGAGGGAAAGGCGAAAAGAACCCCGGCGAGGGGAGUGAAAAAGAACCUGAAACCGUGUACGUACAAGCAGUGGGAGCACAGGUUUACCUGUGUGACUGCGUACCUUUUGUAUAAUGGGUCAGCGACUUAU
rnacentral:rRNA from 1 species